GCCACUCAUUCUCUGUGAAUUCAGCAAAAACUAAUUGGUGUAAUAAUAAAAGUAAGAACACUGAUUAUGCAGCUGAUUCUUAAAAUGUCACCUCCACAUGAGAAGUGUACUAAAAUUAAAUUUUAGCCAUAGAUCUCUCUGGUAGGUCUGAUGGAAUGAAAUCUAGAGAUCAUAAUUGGAUCACACUGUAAACAAUGGUGUGGAUUCCCUGGGAGACCUCUUUGCAUUUAAACUGUAAAAACAAGUCAUCUUGGUGGCCUGGCUGUGGUUUUCAGUGGAGAGAAACAGUCAGAGGCCCAAAUUCACAGCAAAAUGAGAACAAAAGGCAGUCCAGAAAGUGUUCUCCUGACUCAUCUGAUGGAAUAGAGGCUGAUAAGAUUUAUGAUUCGGUAAUGAACCUGAUGAAUUUGGGAAUUGCCAUCUUGGUUUGAGAUACAGAUUUUACUUCGUGCCACCAAACAGCAAGAGCGUUACAGCUCUUCAGUCACAGGUCAUGAGCUCUGCAUUUCUGUUUCAUGAAGUCUUUUUGAAACAAGGAUGUUAUUCGCCCAUCUCUGACCUCUGCCUCCCUGGAAGGGUACAAGCUGGGUUGGAGAGACUUUUUUUUUUUAACUUCAUGGUAUUUAUGACUUUAUUUUUAUUUAAAACAUUUUACACAUGUACCUAAUCUCAGAGGAUAAUAGACACUCCACAUCCGGCACCCUGAUUCAACAUGACAAUGCUUUGCUAUAGUUGCUUUCCAUUUUUUUUUAAAUGUGAUGAAACACUUCAGCUGGGGCUGGCAUCUCUCCCUAUCUUAUUCCUUCUUGCACCUCCCAAAGGUAACGAAUGUCCUGAAGCUGGUCUGUCUUCCUGUCCUCGCUUUCCUAGAUUUGCUAUGGAAGGUGACUCUACAAGGAGCACACAGCAUGUUUUGUGGGGGACCACGUGUGCACUCUGAGCUCAUCUGCCUGGAUUCACAUUUAAUCUUAUUAUUUAUUAGUUUUUGUGACUUGGGACAAAUUAUCUAACCUCUCCAAAUCGCAAUUCUCUAGUUUAUAAAAUGAUAUAAUAAUUUGCUUCCCAGAGCUUUUUGUGAUCAUUAAAUGAGUUAAAAUACAGAAAGGGCUUAACACUGUGCCUGCACACAGGAAGGACUAUGUGAGCAUUUGUUGGAUGAUGAUGUGGACGAUGUCAGUGUGCAUAUGGCACAUGCUGUGAUAUCCUGUGACAACUUGCUUUCCUGAGAUUUAUCAGUACUGCUACAUGUAGAUCUAAU
rnacentral:lncRNA from 1 species